UACGGAGGAUCCAAGCGUUAUCCGGAUUCACUGGGUUUAAAGGGUGCGUAGGUGGAAUGACAAGUCAGUGGUGAAAACCUGCAGCUUAACUGUAGAACUGCCAUUGAUACUGUUAUUCUUGAGUACAUUUGAUGUGAGUGGAAUGUGUCGUGUAGCGGUGAAAUGCUUAGAUAUGACACAGAACACCAAUUGCGAAGGCAGCUCACAAAACUGUAACUGACACUGAGGCACGAAGCG
rnacentral:rRNA from 1 species